rnacentral:rRNA from 1 species
GGGCCCGCACAAGCGGUGGAGUAUGUGGUUUAAUUCGAUGCAACGCGAAGAACCUUACCAGGGUUUGACAUCCUGCGAAUCUCUUGGAAACAGGAGAGUGCCUUCGGGAACGCAGUGACAGGUGGUGCAUGGCUGUCGUCAGCUCGUGUUGUGAAAUGUUGGGUUAAGUCCCGUAACGAGCGCAACCCUUGUCCCUAUUUGCCAGCAGUUCGGCUGGGCACUCUAAGGAGACUGCCGGUGUGAAACCGGAGGAAGGUGGGGAUGACGUCAAGUCCUCAUGGCCCUUAUGCCCAGGGCUACACACGUGCUACAAUGGGCGGUACAAAGGGUUGCGAAGCCGCGAGGUGGAGCCAAUCCCAAAAGCCGUCCUCAGUUCGGAUUACAGUCUGCAACUCGACUGUAUGAAGGUGGAAUCGCUAGUAAUCG